GCGGCUUCUCUUCUCUUGAUCGGCUUAGGCUGUCGUCGUGGUCGAGGCUCGAGAGCUAUGUACUGUACUAGGGAUCAUUGGAUUCGAAUCGUUUGUGGUUCUGGUGGAAGGCUGGUGAUCUUAUUUUAUACUCGUGGUCAUGGCCGUGGCGAUGAGGAGUUGUAAUUGGGUUGUGCUUGACUUCAGAGAUACCCACACGGGGAGGCAUAGUUUGCUGCAAGUGGAUUAGACCUCAGAUACUACAGCUGAUACUACAGCUGAUCUGACGGUCGAGGGGAGGACUAGAUACCUGCUGUACGAACGUCGUAGUAUCGGAAACGUGCAGCCGACAAAGGAAACACAUGCAGCCAGAGAAAUUCAACUUAAAAAAAAUCAGGAAAAUUUAUCUUUUGGAUUGAACAAUAAUCAAGCUUCCUAACUGUAGAAAAAUUUCAUAUUUUUUGACUUUUAAAAUAAAAUGUUGCGUAGAGG
rnacentral:lncRNA from 1 species